rnacentral:tRNA from 1 species
GUCUUAAAAGCUAACAGCAAUUUACUUUGUAAGUAGAGGGAGAUCGAUUAGAUUUGAUUUAAGAUU